GAUGAACGCUAGCGGCAGGCUUAAUACAUGCAAGUCGAGGGGCAGCAUGGUGUAGCAAUACACUGAUGGCGACCGGCAAACGGGUGCGGAACACGUACAGAACCUUCCUUCGAGCGGGGAAUAGCCCAGAGAAAUUUGGAUUAAUACCCCAUAGUAUAGCGGAGAGGCAUCUCUCUGUUAUUAAAGAUUUAUCACUUGAAGAUGGCUGUGCGGCUGAUUAGGUAGUUGGCGGGGUAACGGCCCACCAAGCCUGCGAUCAGUAACUGGUGUGAGAGCACGACCAGUCACACGGGCACUGAGACACGGGCCCGACUCCUACGGGAGGCAGCAGUAAGGAAUAUGGUCAAUGGACGAAAGUCUGAACCAGCCAUGCCGCGUGGAGGAUGAAGGUCCUCUGGAUUGUAAAC
rnacentral:rRNA from 1 species